rnacentral:rRNA from 1 species
UACGGAGGGUGCAAGCGUUAUCCGGAAUUAUUGGGCGUAAAGAGCUCGUAGGCGGUUUGUCGCGUCUGCCGUGAAAGUCCGGGGCUCAACUCCGGAUCUGCGGUGGGUACGGGCAGACUAGAGUGAUGUAGGGGAGACUGGAAUUCCUGGUGUAGCGGUGAAAUGCGCAGAUAUCAGGAGGAACACCGAUGGCGAAGGCAGGUCUCUGGGCAUUAACUGGCGCUGAGGAGCGAAAGCAUGGGGAGCGAACAGG